rnacentral:rRNA from 1 species
GAUGAACGCUGGCGGCGUGCCUAAUACAUGCAAGUCGAGCGAACGGACGAGAAGCUUGCUUCUCUGAUGUUAGCGGCGGACGGGUGAGUAACACGUGGAUAACCUACCUAUAAGACUGGGAUAACUUCGGGAAACCGGAGCUAAUACCGGAUGAUAUUUUGAACCGCAUGGUUCAAAAGUGAAAGACGGUCUUGAUGUCACUUAUAGAUGGAUCCGCGCUGCAUUAGCUAGUUGGUAAGGUAACGGCUUACCAAGGCAACGAUGCAUAGCCGACCUGAGAGGGUGAUCGGCCACACUGGAACUGAGACACGGUCAAGACUCCUACGGGAGGCAGCAGUAGGGAAUCUUCCGCAAUGGGCGAAAGCCUGACGGAGCAACGCCGCGUGAGUGAUGAAGGUCUUCGGAUCGUAAAACUCUGUUAUUAGGGAAGAACAUAUGUGUAAGUAACUGUGCACAUCUUGACGGUACCUAAUCAGAAAGCCACGGCUAACUACGUG